GGGCCGUUAGCUCAGCUGGCUAGAGCGCUACCUUCACACGGUAGAGGUCACUGGUUCAAGUCCAGUACGGCCCACCA
rnacentral:tRNA from 1 species